CAGAAUUCAGUGAAUCAUCGAAUCUUUGAACGCACCUUGCCGCUCCUUGGUAUUCCGAGGAGCAUGCCUGUUUGAGUGUCAUUAAUAUAUAUAUCAAACUUCUCUUGUUGAGUGGUUUGGAUGUGGGGGUUUGCUGGCCUCUUAAAGGGUUCAGCUCCUCUGAAAUGCAUUAGCAGAACAACCUGUUCAUUGGUGUGAUAACUAUCUACGCUAUUGAAUGUGAGGGGCAGUUCAGCUUUCUAACAGUCCUUGGACAAUUCAUCAUUAAUGUGACCUCAAAUCAGGUAGGACUACCCGCUGAACUUAAGCAUAUCAAUAAGCGGA
rnacentral:sRNA from 1 species